CACGUAGGGUGCGAGCGUUGUCCGGAAUUAUUGGGCGUAAAGAGCUCGUAGGCGGUGUGUCGCGUCGGCCGUGAAAACUUGGGGCUUAACUCUGAGCGUGCGGUCGAUACGGGCAUCACUUGAGUUCGGCAGGGGAGACUGGAAUUCCUGGUGUAGCGGUGAAAUGCGCAGAUAUCAGGAAGAACACCCGUGGCUAAGGCGGCUCUCUAGUACGGUACUGACGCUGAGACGCGAAAGCGUGGGGAGCGAACAGG
rnacentral:rRNA from 1 species